rnacentral:rRNA from 1 species
AGUGAACGCUGGCGGUAGGCCUAACACAUGCAAGUCGAACGGCAGCACAGUAAGAGCUUGCUCUUACGGGUGGCGAGUGGCGGACGGGUGAGGAAUACAUCGGAAUCUACUUUUUCGUGGGGGAUAACGUAGGGAAACUUACGCUAAUACCGCAUACGACCUACGGGUGAAAUCAGGGGAUCUUCGGACCUUGCGCGAUUGGAUGAGCCGAUGUCGGAUUAGCUAGUUGGCGGGGUAAAGGCCCACCAAGGCGACGAUCCGUAGCUGGUCUGAGAGGAUGAUCAGCCACACUGGAACUGAGACACGGUCCAGACUCCUACGGGAGGCAGCAGUGGGGAAUAUUGGACAAUGGGCGCAAGCCUGAUCCAGCCAUACCGCGUGAGUGAAGAAGGCCUUCGGGUUGUAAAGCCCUUUUGUUGGGAAAGAAAAGCAGCAGGUUAAUACCCCGCUGUUCUGACGGUACCCAAAGAAUAAGCACCGGCUAACUUCGUG